GGGGCCAUAGUUGAAUGGGACAACGCCACGUUCGCAUCGUGGAAUUACGGGUUCGACUCCCGUUGGCUCCACCA
rnacentral:tRNA from 1 species